UACGUAGGGUGCAAGCGUUGUCCGGAAUUAUUGGGCGUAAAGAGCUCGUAGGUGGUUUGUCGCGUUGUUCGUGAAAACUCACAGCUCAACUGUGGGCGUGCGGGCGAUACGGGCAGACUUGAGUACUGCAGGGGGAGACUGGAAUUCCUGGUGUAGCGGUGGAAUGCGCAGAUAUCAGGAGGAACACCGGUGGCGAAGGCGGGUCUCUGGGCCGAUACUGACGCUGAGGAGCGAAAGCGUGGGGGAGCGAACAGG
rnacentral:rRNA from 1 species